rnacentral:rRNA from 1 species
AGAGUUUGAUCCUGGCUCAGGAUGAACGCUGGCGGCGUGCUUAACACAUGCAAGUCGAACGGUGAACACGGAGCUUGCUCUGUGGGAUCAGUGGCGAACGGGUGAGUAACACGUGAGCAACCUGCCCCUGACUCUGGGAUAAGCGCUGGAAACGGCGUCUAAUACUGGAUAUGUGACGUGACCGCAUGGUCUGCGUUUGGAAAGAUUUUUCGGUUGGGGAUGGGCUCGCGGCCUAUCAGCUUGUUGGUGAGGUAAUGGCUCACCAAGGCGUCGACGGGUAGCCGGCCUGAGAGGGUGACCGGCCACACUGGGACUGAGACACGGCCCAGACUCCUACGGGAGGCAGCAGUGGGGAAUAUUGCACAAUGGGCGCAAGCCUGAUGCAGCAACGCCGCGUGAGGGAUGACGGCCUUCGGGUUGUAAACCUCUUUUAGCAGGGAAGAAGCGAAAGUGACG